GAUUUCUUCAACAGCAAACACAUGAGUUGGCCUAUCAAGACGCAUCACAGUUAAAUUGGGAACUUCAUUCCAAUACUUUACCACAAUCAUCGAUGCCAACAUUGCAAGAGCAUUUGCCAUCCGGUUUUCAUCUCGAGGGAUAUGAUGAAACUCAACCUUUGUAAAUAAAGUUUAAAUCCUCCUUGUGUAAUCCCUAUACGGUAUUAAACCGGGUUGAUUUGUCUCUCAUUCACCUUUGAUCCAGUUCACAACCAAAGCUGAAUCUCCAAAGACAUCUUAAUGCUUG
rnacentral:lncRNA from 1 species